rnacentral:rRNA from 1 species
GGAAUUUUGGGCAAUGGGCGAAAGCCUGACCCAGCAACGCCGCGUGAAGGAUGAAAUCCCUCGGGAUGUAAACUUCGCAAGAACGGGAAGAAUAAGUAGGGGACAAUACCCCCUAUGAUGACGGUACCUGAGGAAUAAGCCACGGCUAACUACGUGCCAGCAGCCGCGGUAAUACGUAGGUGGCAAGCGUUGUCCGGAUUGACUGGGCGUAAAGAGCGCGCAGGCGGUCGUGCAAGUCGCGUGUGAAAGCCCCCGGCUCAACUGGGGAGGGUCACGCGAUACUGCUCGACUUGAAGGCAGGAGAGGGAAGUGGAAUUCCCGGUGUAGUGGUGAAAUGCGUAGAUAUCGGGAGGAACACCAGUGGCGAAGGCGACUUCCUGGCCUGUUCUUGACGCUGAGGCGCGAAAGCUAGGGUAGCAAAC